GACGAACGCUGGCGGCGUGCUUAACACAUGCAAGUCGAACGGAAAGGCCCUGCUUUUGUGGGGUGCUCGAGUGGCGAACGGGUGAGUAACACGUGAGUAACCUGCCCUUGACUUUGGGAUAACUUCAGGAAACUGGGGCUCAUACCGGAUAGGAGCUCCUGCUGCACGGUGGGGGUUGGAAAGUUUCGGCGGUUGGGGAUGGACUCGCGGCUUAUCAGCUUGUUGGUGGGGUAGUGGCUUACCAAGGCUUUGACGGGUAGCCGGCCUGAGCGGGUGACCGGCCACAUUGGGACUGAGAUGCGGCCCAGACUCCUACGGGAGGCAGCAGUGGGGAAUAUUGCACAAUGGGCGGAAGCCUGAUGCAGCAACGCCGCGUGCGGGAUGACGGCCUUCGGGUGGUAAACCGCUUUCGCCUGUGACGAAGCGUGAGUGACGGUAAUGGGUAAAGAAGCACCGGCUAACUACGUG
rnacentral:rRNA from 1 species